rnacentral:rRNA from 1 species
UUGGAGGGCAAGUCUGGUGCCAGCAGCCGCGGUAAUUCCAGCUCCAAUAGCGUAUAUUAAAGUUGUUGCAGUUAAAAAGCUCGUAGUUGAAUUUCGGGAUCAAUGUUUCGGUCAUGCCGUUGGUAUGUACUGAUAUUAUUGGUUUCUCACCUUCUAAAGAACCGUAAUGCCAUUAAUUUGGUGUCACGGGGAAUUAGGACUGUUACCUUGAAAAAAUUAGAGUGUUUAAAGCAGGCUCACGCUUGAAUACAUUAGCAUGGAAUAAUGAAAUAGGACAUCCGAUUCUAUUUUGUUGGUUUCUAGGAUCGAUGUAAUGAUUAAUAGGGAUAGUUGGGGGCAUUAGUAUUCAAUUGUCAGAGGUGAAAUUCUUGGAUUUAUUGAAGACUAACUACUGCGAAAGCAUUUGCCAAGGGUGUUUUCAUUAAUCAAGAACGAAAGUUAGGGGAUCGAAGACGAUCAGAUACCGUCGUAGUCUUAACCAUAAACUAUGCCGACUAGGGAUCGGAUGAUGUUAAUUUUUUAAUGACUCAUUCGGCGCCUUACGGGAAAC